CUGGUGAUCGUGACAGUAGUUAUAUGCUGUCUCAACGAUUAAGCCAUGCAUGUCUAAGUUUUAGACGAAUUAAAAGUGAAACCGCAAAAGGCUCAUUAUAUCAGUUAUGGUUCCUUAGAUCGUUAACAGUUACUUGGAUAACUGUGGUAAUUCUAGAGCUAAGACAUGCAAUUAAAACACGGACCUUCUGGGACGUGUGCUUUUAUUAGACUAAAACCAAGCGAUCAACCAAUCGUUAUAUUGGUUGAACUCUAGAUAACAUGCAGAUCGUAUGGUCUUGUACCGACGACAGAUCUUUCAAAUGUCUGCCCUAUCAACUUUUGAUGGUAGUAUCUAGGACUACCAUGGUUGCAACGGGUAACGGGGAAUCAGGGUUCGAUUCCGGAAAGGGAGCCUGAGAAACGGCUACCACAUCUAAGGAAGGCAGCAGGCGCGUCAAUUACCCACUCCCAGUUCGGGGAGGUAGUGACGAAAAAUAACAAUACAGGACUCAUAUCAGAGGCCCUGUAAUUGGAAUGAGUACACUUUAAAGCUUUCUGCUCUCUGACGUGACGGUCGUGUUUUUGCAUAGCUCCUGAGUUUUUAUU
rnacentral:ncRNA from 1 species